UGCUCGGAGGGCUGGAGCCCUUCUGCUUUGGAGACAUGCUGGGAGAGCUGGGGGUGUUCAGCCUGGAAGAGAGAAGACUCCAGGGAGACCUGAUUGCUGCCUUUCAGUACCUUAGGGGGCUUGUAAAAGAGAUGGGACAGAAUUUUUAGUAGGGCCUUAUGUGACCAGACUGUGGGGGAAUGGUUGUAAUCUAAAAGACGGUCGAUUCAGACUAGAUGAAAGAAACCCAUUUUUUGCACUCUAGGUUUUGAAACCCUGGCACAGGUUGCCCACAGAGGUGGACAUCCAUCCCUGCAGUCAUUCAAGCUCGUGCUCUGAGCAACCUGACCUAGUCAAAGCUGUCCCUGCUCACUGAAGGGCAUUGGACUGGAUGGCCUUUAAAUGUCCAUUCUGUGACAUCACAGCUCCCCGAGUGUUCCAGGUGGAAGGCCCAGGACCUGGAAACGAGCACAGCAGACACUUCAGCUGCUGCCAAGGGCCACUUCUCCCUCGCCCUUCGCUCUGCCCGUCAGUGCUGAGCUGUUGCUGCUGCCUGGGCUUUUGCUGCUGCCUGCUCUGAAGCCAAUCCCGGCAGGAUGUGCGCUGCUGCCCCAGUGGAGACGGCCAGAGACACCGUGGAGGAGAUGGAAGUGGACAUGGUGCUGGAUAGGGAAGAAAUGAUGGAGGUGGACACGGAAGAGACUGCCGAGGACAUGGACAUUGAUGUGGAGGACAAGAUGGAGGAGAUGGAAGUCGAUGAGAAGGAUGAGGAGGAGCCCAUGGUCCUUGGAUGAAGAUGGAGCCCCAGGAGCAAGAGAGGCAGAUGCUUCCCACGCCCAGCCCACAGGCAGAGUGUGUCCCCUGACGCCAGGCUGGGGCUGGGCUGGAUGGCCCCGCUCAGGGACACGGUGCCCGCAGGGGGCCCUGGAUUGUGGUGGCACAAGCAGCAGCCCCGGCCUGCCCUGCGCUUGCCUGGGGCCAUGCCAGCCCUGCCAGCCCUGUCCCAGCCCCUGGGGCCCAGCUGCCAGCCCACCUGGGCCACUGCUGGCAGCAGAGUCCAGCCCUGCUGCGGCCUUUCUUCAAAGACCGAUGGAGAUGAGGGCAACAGAUAUCACCCCUCUGUAAAUAUGUUCUGAAGUUUCGCGGUUUUCUGUAAAUAUGUUUGGAAGGUUGUUAGACUAUAGGUACCCAUGUAAGUAUGUUAGGACAUUUGUUAGUCUAUAAGCACCCAUGUAAAUAUGUUCUGUAGAUUGUUAGUCUAUGGCCUCCCAUGUAAACAUGUUCUGUAGAUUGAUGUUGUUCUAAGGAUUGUUGCAAUGAAACAUGUUCUGUAAAUCCUAGGUUUUGCUGAUCUUUGGGGAAAAAAUACUGUUUCUUUUUAAAAUCUCAGUUCUCUUUGCAAUUCCUUUGGGCCCAGGCGGCGUUUGCACAGUUGUGGUUUCCACUUGUUCUGGGUUGCCAGGGCUGGAGGUCCCUGGGGGGGCUGGCACGGCCACCCUGGGGCUGGGGGUCCCUGUGCACAGGGGCUCCCACUGACACCACUCCUGGCACUGGGCACUGCUGCUCUUCCUGGGCUGGGCCAGAGCAGUGUCCCCAGGAGCAGAGCUGUCAGCAGCAGA